AUUUAAACGAACCAAAAUGGAAAGCUUUGGAUGAGCAGAGUCCGAGUCUGCCGUCAGUGUGAAGGUUGAGAGUUCAGAAAAGUCUGAAGUGUGGACAGGACCAAUAAGAAGCUACCAUAAGACUAAUUCCCACUCAACAUCAGGAAGAGUUAGCAACAGCGGUCCUAAAACAGAAAGACGGCUUCCAGAAACUAUCACACUGUAUUGUCAGCCUUCCCCAUCACAUCAAGCUCCUUGAAGGCAGUAAGGACAUCUUAUCUAUCUCUAAUCUAUCCCUUGAUUGAUUAUAGUGAUGAAGGUAAUGAAUAUAGCCCAUGGUGCCACAGAAAUAACCUCAAAAUCAG
rnacentral:lncRNA from 1 species